rnacentral:rRNA from 1 species
UACGAAGGACCCAAGCGUUAUCCGGAUUUAUUGGGUUUAAAGGGUGCGUAGGCGGACAUGCAAGUCAGUGGUGAAAUCUCCCUGUUCAACAGGGAAACUGCCAUUGAAACUAUGUGUCUUGAGUACAUUUGAGGCGGGCGGAAUGUGUCAUGUAGAGGUGAAAUUCUUAGAUAUGACACAGAACACCAAUUGCGAAGGCAGCUCGCUAAACUGUAACUGACGCUGAGGCACGAAAGCGUGGGGAUCAAACAGG